ACAGUGUCUGGUGGGUAGUUUGACUGGGGCGGUCUCCUCCUAAAGAGUAACGGAGGAGCACGAAGGUUGGCUAAUCCUGGUCGGACAUCAGGAGGUUAGUGCAAUGGCAUAAGCCAGCUUGACUGCGAGCGUGACGGCGCGAGCAGGUGCGAAAGCAGGUCAUAGUGAUCCGGUGGUUCUGAAUGGAAGGGCCAUCGCUCAACGGAUAAAAGGUACUCCGGGGAUAACAGGCUGAUACCGCCCAAGAGUUCAUAUCGACGGCGGUGUUUGGCACCUCGAUGUCGGCUCAUCACAUCCUGGGGCUGAAGUAGGUCCCAAGGGUAUGGCUGUUCGCCAUUUAAAGUGGUACGCGAGCUGGGUUUAGAACGUCGUGAGACAGUUCGGUCCCUAUCUGCCGUGGGCGCUGGAGAACUGAGGGGGGCUGCUCCUAGUACGAGAGGACCGGAGUGGACGCAUCACUGGUGUUCGGGUUGUCAUGCCAAUGGCACUGCCCGGUAGCUAAAUGCGGAAGAGAUA
rnacentral:rRNA from 1 species